AGGUUUUACGGAGAAUUUCGGUCCCAGCAAAAACUGAUCACCUGGAGUCUUCUACGGUCUCUCUUUAUAAAUCUCUCCGAACCUCAAGCAACUCCCCCCCACCCCCUUCGUCUGGGGUCUGCGCCCAGCGGGGCCAAAGCCUUGAGUUCCUUGGCAGAGAGUGUGGAACAGCCGUGAGCCCUUCAAGACAUGCCUAUGAGCCCGGUGAUUUUUUUUUCAAGGGGGCUUUGAUCAGCUGUACCUCCACGUUGCCCCGGAAAGGUGCGCAGGGCACCCGGAGAGGCCUCUGGUCAGCAGUGGGCCUGGGCCAAGCCCCAACAGUUUACCCCUCAGGCUCAGGUUGGCUGGGGUUAAAGGGCAAAGUCAGGGUCGAGGGCACCAGCUUUUCUCGGCGGUAACAGCUGCCACCCAAAUUAUGCCCCCUCAGGAAGCGAAUGAAUUGUUCCUUUCUCCCAGCUCCCUGCUGCCCGCCCCAAAACAGACGGGGCCGCGCUCGGCGGGCGCCCCUCCUCCCAGCCAACCCCCCGAGACGCGCUCAGGGGCCUCGGUGCCCCGCUGGGAGGCAAUUUGGGGGAGCCGUGGUCCCGAACUUUGACAGAGUGGGGCUUCCCCACUACUUGCCGGCUGCGCUAAGGGCGCCCCCCGCGGCAGUGCUGCUGGGAGCUCCAGGGAUGGCUGUGUGGCUCGCUGCGGGCGUUGAAGUUCCCUGUUGGCCAGGCUGAAGUGCCUGCGCGAGCGUGAGGGGACAAGGACUGCCUUGGGCCCAGCGUGGCGGCGUUUCGGCCAACCCAGUUGGGGUUAAUUGCGUCUGUAUAGGUUUUGGGUAGGAAUGCUCGCGGAGUCCGCCACCCGCGCGAAACAUGCGUUGGUUGGGGGAAUGAGCAGCGGCGGCUGCGCCUGGAGGGUUGCUCCCACCUCUGUCGCCUCCAGCUACCCCCAAACAAACCUCCUUUUCGAUCUCGUGCAACACAAAACCUGCCCCGAGCUGUGCGGGGGCCUGGCAAGCGCAGCUGCGGCCCCGGGAAGCCCAAUCCCGCGGGACUGCGGAGCCCACGCGCUCCUCAGGCUCCGGCCAACUAGCUCGGUUCUGCCUCUAGCCCGGGUCAAGAAAAAUCCAAAAUGAACACUAUGAUUAAAAUUAUUC
rnacentral:lncRNA from 1 species